AUUGAACGCUGGCGGCAGGCCUAACACAUGCAAGUCGAGCGGAUGACGGGAGCUUGCUCCUUGAUUCAGCGGCGGACGGGUGAGUAAUGCCUAGGAAUCUGCCUGGUAGUGGGGGACAACGUUUCGAAAGGAACGCUAAUACCGCAUACGUCCUACGGGAGAAAGCAGGGGACCUUCGGGCCUUGCGCUAUCAGAUGAGCCUAGGUCGGAUUAGCUAGUUGGUGAGGUAAUGGCUCACCAAGGCGACGAUCCGUAACUGGUCUGAGAGGAUGAUCAGUCACACUGGAACUGAGACACGGUCCAGACUCCUACGGGAGGCAGCAGUGGGGAAUAUUGGACAAUGGGCGAAAGCCUGAUCCAGCCAUGCCGCGUGUGUGAAGAAGGUCUUCGGAUUGUAAAGCACUUUAAGUUGGGAGGAAGGGCAGUAAGUUAAUACCUUGCUGUUUUGACGUUACCGACAGAAUAAGCACCGGCUAACUACGUGCCAGCCGCCGCAGUAA
rnacentral:rRNA from 1 species